rnacentral:sRNA from 1 species
UAUAGCCAGCUCUGAUCUAAUCUGGCCCAGUGGAAUAACGAUUGACUUCUUAACUGACAAGUUGUAUUGGUGCGAUGCCAAGCAGUCUGUGAUUGAAAUGGCCAAUCUGGAUGGUUCAAAACGCCGAAGACUUACCCAGAAUGAUGUAGGAAGAAGCUAACAAACUAAUAAUCUGUGUAAGAUACCUAUUUUGCCCAUUCUCUUUGGCUCAAGAUAAGUAUAAUUUAAAAUUUUAUGUAUUUCUAAGAUUCUCUAAAAUCAAAGAUAUCCUUCACAAUAAGUGAUAUGCUUAUGCACAACCUUAGACUUUAUCAUCCAUUUACUUCAGGGGUGUUUAUUGACACAUUACAGGAACUGAAGAUACAGUGGAGGGUAAAACAAAUAUGAUAUCUGUAAAGCCAAGGAAUCUAGUGCAGAACACAUACAUUAUU